rnacentral:misc_RNA from 1 species
UCAAAUUCUAGUUCUGGAAGUAAGGGGAAAAUUCGUAGAUGAGUGAAAAAUAAAUAGCUUCAUAUGAUCUUUCUUUUAAGAGCCUAAAGACAUAGGGUGUUCUCCUCGCUGUCCCUCUGUUCUUUGUGAUGUAAUAUACUCUAUGCCUGUGUUGGAAUUGAUGAGAUUCAUUAAUUUAAGGGAUAGUUAUUAUCUACUUAAUUCAAGGGAUGAGUCCACCUUGUGGAGAAUCCCGUAAUAGUUAGAAGUCUUCCUUAUCUAUUUCUUGUAGUU